ACAUCCCAGGACGGCAGAAUAAUGCGGAGGUUUUCUACUAUAGAUUAAAACCAACCAACAGGGAAUUUUCCGAGUCUGGCAGCCACAGCUUUCUCUUCAGACAUCUUUUCCUCCAGCCAUGCGGACAGGGAAAAUUCUGGGAGGCCCAGGACAGAGGAAAUCAAAGGCAUACUUGGAAGGAGAUUGAGAAUAUUCUGGAAUGCAUUCUCU
rnacentral:lncRNA from 1 species